GCAAGCGUUAAUCGGAAUUACUGGGCGUAAAGCGCACGCAGGCGGUUGAUUAAGUUAGAUGUGAAAUCCCCGGGCUUAACCUGGGAAUGGCAUCUAAGACUGGUCAGCUAGUGUCUUGUAUAGGGGGGUAGAAUUCCAUGUGUAGCGGUGAAAUGCGUAGAGAUGUGGAGGAAUACCGGUGGCGAAGGCGGCCCCCUGGACAAAGACUGACGCUCAGGUGCGAAAGCGUGGGGAGCAAACAGGAUUAUAUACCCUGGUAGUCCACGCUGUAGACGAUGUCGAUUUGAAGGUUGUUCCCUUGAGGAGUGGCUUUCGGAGCUAACGCGUUAAAUCGACCGCCUGGGGAGUACGGCCGCAAGGUUAAAACUCAAAUGAAUUGACGGGGGCCCGCACAAGCGGUGGAGCAUGUGGUUUAAUUCGAUACAACGCGAAGAACCUUACCUACUCUUGACAUCCAGAGAAUUUAGCAGAGAUGCUUUAGUGCCUUCGGGAACUCUGAGACAGGUGCUGCAUGGCUGUCGUCAGCUCGUGUUGUGAAAUGUUGGGUUAAGUCCCGCAACGAGCGCAACCCUUAUCCUUUGUUGCCAGCGAUUCGGUCGGGAACUCAAAGAAGACUGCCGGUGAUAAACCGGAGGAAGGUGGGGAUGACGUCAAGUCAUCAUGGCCCUUACGAGUAGGGCUACACACGUGCUACAAUGGCGUAUACAAAGAGAAGCGACCUCGCGAGAGCAAGCGGAACUCAUAAAGUACGUCGUAGUCCGGAUUGGAGUCUGCAACUCGACUCCAUGAAGUCGGAAUCGCUAGUAAUCGUAGAUCAGAAUGCUACGGUGAAUACGUUCCCGGGCCUUGUACACACCGCCCGUCACACCAUGGGAGUGGGUUGCAAAAGAAGUAGGUAGCUUAACCUUCGGGAGGG
rnacentral:rRNA from 1 species